UUUCCGUAGGGGAACCUGCGGAAGGAUCAUUAUUGGAUUUUGAAACUUCAGCCUGCUGCUGGCUCCCCCCGGAGUGCAUGUGGACGCUUGUUGUCCAUUAUUUCUCCCACUGUGCACAAAUUGUAGACAUUUCAGUAGGCCUCUGUUGUUUUUCACAAUCUCUGAAUGUAAUAGAAUGGUUGUGAAUCUUGGGAAAUACAAUACAACUUUCAGCAACGGAUCUCUUGGCUCUC
rnacentral:misc_RNA from 1 species